AGUCACUGACAUUAGAUACCCGCGUAGUCCAGGGUGUAAACGCUGCAGACUUGGUGUUGGGAACCCUUCGGGGGUGCUCAGUGCCGGAGAGAAGUUGUUAAGUCUGCUACUUGGGGAGUACGUCCGCAAGGAUGAAACUUAAAGGAAUUGGCGGGGGAGCACCGCAACGGGAGGAGCGUGCGGUUUAAUUGGAUUCAACGCCGAAAACUCACCAGCAGCGACUGUUACAUGAAAGUCAGGUUGAUGACCUUACUAGAUUUUCAG
rnacentral:rRNA from 1 species